rnacentral:lncRNA from 1 species
AAUGGUUACAAAUAUCUAAAAUUUUAUCCAAACUCGAAUUCGAAUGGAUCGAAUUUAUCCGAUGCUAAAUGAAUAUAUUUUCGAAUAUGGAUAUAAAAAAUAAAGACCCGACGAAUUUGGAUUUGGAUAUGAAUUUUGACUGCACCAGAUUCAAAUCCGAUAUGGAUUUUGAAGUUAUAUUUGAAUUUUUGUUUCAAAAAUUUAGGUCUAAUUUAAUAUGUUUUGAAAUAUUGUAAAGAGAAAUAAUUAUUUCGGGUUCGGAUUCCAGAUUUUUGGAUAAGUUUGGGUUUGAAACUGGAUUUUUGAAAUCAGUCAGACUCCGGUUUAGGUUCGAAUUUUGGAUUUGACAGUCGGAUUCGGGUU